rnacentral:lncRNA from 1 species
GUUGCAGUAUACACUUGUGAAUAUUCAGGACUUGUUACAUUUUGGUUUAAUUUACUUUUCUUAGGUGUAGGUGAUGCUUGUUUAAAUUUAACGUAUAAGUUUUGAGUGCAUGUGUUCUUUAGAUCACAGCCCGAAGCAGGAAACUUGUAUUCUAGUCCAUUUCACUAGAAGUAGAACUUAGAAGGGAUUCCAGAAAUCCUACAGGUGUCCUGAAACAACGGGGAUCGUAGAUAUGAAGAGUCAAUAUUUGAAAUUGAUAGUUGAUGCAGUCAUAGCCAGGGGCGACACAAUGAUUAUAGGAUAAGGUAUGGGUAUGCUUGUGAAGAACAAAGCAAGUGAGCUUCUGAAGUUUUUCACAAACAUAUAAAGAUUGCCCUAUCAUCUAUUAAGAAUUUUAGUAUUGGCAUAUACUGCUUUUUUUUCACUCUCCUAUACUGAGUUCAAUGAGAUAACUUCUUACCCUUCUUUUCUCAAAAGAAAAUACAUUAAGAGAUCUUAAUCUCUCUCCCUAGGAUAACCUUUUGAACUCCAGGAUCAUCCUUAUAGCUCUCCUCUGAACCAUUUCCAAUAAAUAAAUACCCCAAAAUGACAAAGAAAGGUAACCUUUGAUUCACAUUAUAAUUGUAUAUAUCACUGUCUGUUGCUAUUAGUGACAUGUAUGUAUUGUAUGCCUUCUUGUUAUUCAUGUUUCAAAGGGUGAGAUGUGAACUGUUUUCUCCAAUUUCAACUCUUGAACAAUUUGCAAAUUAUGAUGAAGGUAGCUGGAUUCAUGCUGAAAGCUAUAAUUUUGCAAAUGAAAAUGAACUACAGCAUCUAUCUGUUACAGAUAAACCUGGAAGAUUUAUUCUAAACUCUGGCAUAAAAAAGUCAUCCUUGUUCACUCGUGGAACAAAACGCUAUUUAAGAACAAAAGAAAAAAGAACAAUAGUUUAUAGUAUAAGAAAAAGAGAUGAGAAUACUAAAAACAUGGAAAAUAGCUCCAUAAAUGAAAGAUCCUCUUCACAAAGCCAAGAUGUUACAAGUAAUUUGGUCAACAUUACAUCUGCUGUGGAAACCUUAAGUAAAAAUAAUGAUAAAAAUGUGGAACAAUCUAGAAAUUUCUUUAGAAGAAUUCACAUGACAAUUACACGUUCAAGAGAUGCAAUCUGGGCUUUUACAGCUUUGACAUUGUUGUGUGUUCUCCUUGCAAUAGCUGUUUUAUGUUCUCGCAUGUGGCAGGAUUACCAUGGCAUACCACUUUAUCAACCUUCUUUACCCGAUCUUCAUGAGAAGAUACCUUUUAAAGAAGCUUUAGGGGCAAAAUUAAAGUUCUUGAGGUGGCUGAAAAGACGACAGAAAUGGAGAACCAAAAAGGAAACGGGAGCAAGUUCAAUAGAAAUGGAAGAGCUUCUGAGUGGAACUCAUGACAGUGAUGAAGAAAUACAAUAAAUUAACUCUUUAUGAUUUGUUUUGUUUGCUUUUGUGAGAGUAUACUGUAAUAAGUUUUAGUAGCCAUUUGCUAGGCCACUUAGCAAAUAGAAUAAAUAUAUUAGUAUAAAAAUUAGAAAUAUGCCACACCUCAGAAUACUGUCAGAAUGUGGACUAUGUGUUAACAAAGCAACAAAAAACAAGAACACAAACAAGCUAUAUAUUUAACAUAUCAAAAGUGUUAUAAGAUGAUAUUUCCUUUUUUAUUUUUCUUAAUAACAAAAGAAGGCAACUUGUAAAAAAAAAAAAAUACACUAAAUUAUGUGCAUGUUUUUCUUUGGGUCACUAUGUCUACAAAUCAGGUCUUAUACAAACAUACAAUUAUUAUUGGUUUUUGUUUAAAUAAACAAAUUUGAAUUAUUUGUUGUACAAAAGUUGCACAGUACAAUACAUAAUUGUGUUUGUGCCAAAAUAAUUGUUUUCACCAUUGUUGAAUGUAUGUUUCCCUUUAUGUUGAUGUGUAGACAACUAUUUUACUUCUUUGAAAUAUUACUUGGUAAAAGCAGGACCUUUUGAUUUGUUGUGAGAUGAUGUUUGAAACGUGAGCUUGAUGUAUGUGGUGGAGACAUUAGAUCUGCAAAAUCUUCUGUAUGAUGGAUGGUGACAUUGGAUCUAAUGUAUGACUGUAAGUGUUGGAAGUAUUCAAUCUGAAAGUUUAACUUACCAAAAUUAAACUGAAAAGAAACUUUUAAUAUUUGGCAUCUCACUUUACAGGUCUAGCAUGGUCUGGUGGUUAGAGCACUUGAUUUGUAAUCUGGGGAUUGCAGGCAAGAAAGAAAAUGGGUUUUAGGAACUAGGUACACGUUUAAAGGAGCAGUGGGGUGAUAAGUAUAAAAAAAGGUCUUGUGAAAUUUUUAGUAGAUGAGAGAUAUGUGUACAUUAAUAUAUAUAUAUUUAUAUAUAUAUAUGUGCGCAUACAUGUAUAAGUAUAUAUUGAUUUACCACUUCAUUGAGAUUUGAGAAUCAUAACAUACAGGUUCACAUCACAGAAUUUUCCAUAAUGGGAUGUAGUCCGUAUUUUUUUCUUUUUACACACAGUUUCUUCAGCAUGCUAUCUGAUGCCAUGUCUUUACAUAUUCCUCAGGGUUGAAUUUUGACAGAAGAGGUCCCACUGACUUGAUAAAGAGGAGAGUUGAAAGAUGAUCAGUUUGAAGUUGUGCCCAUUGUGGUGACACAGACAAACUCAUUUCACUGAUGCUUCUUUCACAUUCAGCCAUUGACACUGGAAUUGUAUUUACAGCUCUUUGCAACUGCUAAAGGUGUGCAGAAAGUGUUUUCCCUUUUGAGUUCUUAAAUUUUCUGUAGGUUCUGACACAUAGCCCACCAUUUCUUCGAUAUUACUAUUGCCAUAUGUAAAACUCGCAUCCUCUGGCGUAUUGUUAAUAUCUAAAUAUUUUGACUAGAUAAUCAGUGUUUUACAUUUGUCUGCAGAAAGUGAUGUUACUUGAAGCAACCCUGAUUUCAUAUUAUUAAUCAAGCUCCUUAAAAACUGUUGUUAGUGUAUAGCAGGUACUUAAAUUUAUACCAGUUUUCUUCUGAGUUUCAGUACAAAAUGUUCCUGGUUUCUCUAUCUGUCCUUCAAGACCCAUGAGAGUUUGGUUUAUUUCUGCAUGUGCUUUACUAAGUGAACAAUUUUGGUUCUGUAGCUCAAGUGAAUGUUCAGACAGCUCUAGCAAAGUGUCCAUCAACAAGCCCAAAUUACCCAUGAAAGCUGACGAUUACAGUAUAUUCUUCAACCCUUCAUACUUUGCUUUUUCUACACUAGAUUUUGAAACAUCUCUACUAAAAUGCUCCCAAAGAGCUUCGUAAAACUGCCAUAUUGCUUUUACAGUUCGAUAAGACAAAGCAACCCAUCUUACACUGAACACACGACCAAUUUUCAGCAGCUGACAGUGAGGAGACUCAGCACAGGCAGUUUGCUCGUCUUGAUUCUUAGUAGGUGACCUAUGAUACAGGGAAUACAAUUUAUCACAAAAACCUGUAAAUGUUUCAAGCCUGCAACUUCAUUUACUGCAUCACUCAUACUAAGUUGAAGCCUGUGACUGGAACAGUGCCAGACAGUUGCAUAAGGAAAGUCAUCAAAAAAUAGUUUUACAACCCCUGAUUUUCGUCCCAGCAUUACUGAUGUUAAAUCAGUUAUAAGUGAAAUUAAAUUUUCUUUCAGGUACUACACUGAAAAACCAGCACUUUGCAAGCAAUUCAGAAGACCAUUAUUCAUAUGCUCUAAUUCAAAAUAAAAUGACAUAGGAUGGGGAGAUUUGCCAACUGCUGCUCUCAAGCACACUACCAUUAAUAGUGGUAGAUUCAUCAAUCAUGACAGACAUUUCAGAUUGUUUUGAAAUUAUAUUUUUCACUGCUGUUUCUUGCAUUUGCUUCCCUAUGUAGUGUGCAAUAUCUGCACAUGACUUGCGAGAGUGUAGAACAUGUCCUAAGUCAAGGUCAUUUCUUUCUUGUAGUUCAAUAUCAUAAUACAUCUCAGCAUUUGGCAUGCAUAUUAUACACAGUUCCAAAAGCUCUACUUGUUUUCCUUCAUCCUUGUUAACUGACUCGUACACUAAGUACUUUUUAUCACGAGCUUCACUGUUUUUGUGCUUAAAAAUCUUGUCUUAAACUUGUUAACUGCUUUGCUUUGUCACAUCUCACUCCCACAUCAACACUGCACUACACACGAGACAAACGUAUUCCCCGUGUUCAUUCAAGUCCAAGGUGACCAGUGUUGCUGCAUACACUGCAUCCUAGUUUUCCACUUUUCACAAUUAGUCAAGGAUAUUCUUUUUUUUUCUGAUUAAGUAUGUAUGUGACCAGCAUUCUGGAAGAUCUGAAUUUCUUUUGAAAUGUUAUCACUUGUAGAAGCAGUAUCAGGUGCAACCGCUGAAUGACAAGUAAUUUAGCCUUCUUUACUGCCUGAGUGUUUUCAUAAUUUCCUUCUUCUCCAUCAAGUUCAAGGAACUGUCUUUUAACAUACUUCAGUAUGCUCACUUUUCUACAAUGGUAAAUCAGUCCGAAAAUUAGAGAUAAUGCACAUUAACAGUCAUAUAUUAAAAUGAGCAUACUUAUCUAACACAUCAAUAUAGCUGCAUAGAUUGACAGAUAGUAGAUUAGGGGAGAGUGGGGAUGGUUUGGACAUUUUAAUUAUGCAGUGCUAUAGUGACAUAUUUUGAAUAUAACUUUUUCAGACCCAAAUUUCUGAGGAAUUUGGUUUCAAGUGGUCUGUCAACUAUCCAAAACAUCCCCACAGUAAGGGAUAUUAUGGACACCCAUAAUGCCAUGUGUAAUGAUAAAUACAUCACAGUUUCAAUAUUGUUGGUAUAUAAACAGUAUAUGGUAUAUCCAUGAAAGUAGAACUUACGAAAAGCAAUAGAAAAAUUACAACACUUUCAACACUUAAAGUACAGAUAUUUUUGUUUCCCUUACUUUAACUUUCCAAUAUAUUUAGGACAGUUAACACUGUCUUACCUUAAGUUUGUGCAUAAUGUCACAUUUACUACUGAUUUCAAUAAGCAUUUUACAUAGAUAUAUACUGAAAAACUUAACUAUUAUCUGAACUAUCCAUUUCCUCAGUCAGCAGUUCAUUGGACUUGGUGUCGAACAGUGAUAUAUUUUAAUGUAUUUUUUAAAAAGGGCAGACUUACUUCUGAAAUAUGAAAAGCAUUUCCAUGUUGAGUUACUCUCAUGUUGUUAAAUAACCAUGUAACUAAAGUUCUUAAAUGUCCUUGACAUAAUCCAGAGUAUGCAUCAACUUACCCAGAGUUUUCCACUGUACCACAUGAAUUGCUGUAUCUGUGUUAGAAGGAUGUACAUGCAAGCUCAGUUUUCUCACCAUAAUCCAAAUAUUGUUGACAGUCAUUCUGUUAACUUUACUCACUAUAAAUUCUGAAGUAUGUUCGUUGCAUUUCUUGGCUUCUCCCUCUUUUGAACCCUUAGCAAUAAUCUUUUCCUCAAAUCCUAUUUUAUUAUAUUAUUUGCAUUGGGCAGAAGACCUACUGAUCUCUAUGACCCUGAAGCUUUACCUACAUGGUUCUUGAAAGGCCAUAUAUCUAGAUUGAACCUUCAUACCUAAAGCUUGAGCUGCGAGUGAAGAUAAUUGCUGUUUCUCACAUAUUCUUACCUGCCUUGACUGAUUCUGAUUUUUAUUCUGUGAAAUGUUCUGGAUAUCAUUACUUAGCAUGUACUAAAUCUUUCAGGGACUCUUAGAAAAGGUAUUUUUUAUACCUUGUGACCAAUUAUUAAUCCACCUACAUUCAGUUGCAGUUGCUUCGACUUGUUUACUGAGAUUUUUCUAACUAUUUUAAAAUUAAAUUUUGGGUUACAUUUCACCAAAUUUGUCAUUGGAAAGUCUUUGGCAUCAUGGUCACAGUAUCCUUAAGAGUAUAUUAUGCAGGUCUGAGUGUGAAUAUGUUCUUAAUUUAUUUACAUCACAUUACUAUCCCUUCAGUUUUGAUGCUAGAAAAACACGUAGGUUAAAGAAAUCUUGAUAUAAAUGAAUAAAAACCUGAGCACUUUCUUCUUCAGGGGCAAUCUACUUCUCUGUUAAUAAAUAUUUAAUGGCCAAUCCUUAUACAGGAUUACUGCUAACAUUAUUUGCAAAAUAUACUUGCAUAUUUAAUAUUUCGUUAAAAAGUUGGUUGGGUUUUAUAAAUGAUUUCUAGGAGUAAAUUGUCAAAGUGUAAAUGUGUAUAAUAGCUUGUUGUUUUUAUAUCCCACUAUUAUAGUUGUAUUUAGUAUAUUUUUCCACAGAAUGUUCUGGUAUGUAUUAUUGUCUCACCUUAAGAAUGUUUUUAUUUUUGAAGUAACCCAGAAACUAACAACUGGGCCUAAAUGAUCCAGUCUACACAAAUAAACAAAAUGAUACAAUAAAUACAACAAUAAAGUGAUUUAUAACCAUUUUUACUUUUUUUUUUAUCUCACUUUUUUAUAUCUUAAUUAAGUACUGGAUUCACUCAACCCAGGUGGUAAGAGAAGUUACAAAAUCUGCUUGGUAGUUCCAGGGUUAAUGGUUUUGAAGUAGUAAUAAAAGACGUUUUGUGAUAUAGCUUUAUUAUGAAGUAAGCAGGGUGUUGAUGACUAUGGUUGUACUGUUGCUUUCUUUGUUGAUAGUGUUAAUAGGUUUCAGUUUUGAAACCUAAUUGUUUUAUCCAAUGAUAAUUUUCUAUUUUUCACUUUUUUUUUCUCUAAACACUAGUUGUUAUUAUAAUUAUAAAAAGACACAAAAUAAUUAUUAUUUAAGAGAUUUAGAUGCAGGGUUAAAGUCUUUAAAAGCUUUUUGGGUGCAUAUUUCUUGAUUCAUUAAAAACAAAAGCUGUACAUAGAAAAAUAACUUUGAAAGUGAUUGUUAUGGUUUCUGUAGGAAUAAAAAUAGAGUACAGUUUAUUUUUACAAGUACAUUUAGUCAAGUGUGAAUAAAAAAAACAUCUAUAGACCAAUGUGGCACUUACAUCAAUCACAAACCAGUUUAAAGAAGGUUUAAGUAAACAUAUUUGCAGGGACAUAAUUACCAGUGGUGGGUUAAUAAUAAUAAUCAUACAAAUAAUAAGUAGGUGCCUUUUACUUUUCAUAUUAUUCAAUUUCUUAUUAUUAAACCAAGUAAGUUAUAAAGUAAUUUGAACAUAUUUAUACACAGAUUUGGGAUUAUAAAACAGCAUGUGGAAAGCAGCUGAAAAGGUGAGGCCACACCCACCUAUAGCCAUGCUGUCACUUCAUGUGUAGUUCAGCAUGACUUCCAACAUUUUCUGUCCACACCGUGAUAACCAGUUCAAAUAAGGUUGUUAAUUACUAUCCAUUUAAAUGAAAUGUGGUUACUCUGUUUACAUAGAUCUUAUGAUUUAGAAUUUAAUUUUUUUGCAUGGAUAUGUAAAAAGUUAUUAUUUUAACAAAGAGCUCUAAAAUCUUCACCAGGGGUUGAAGGUUUGCAGUCACUGAGAGAAAAGUGUUAAGAAAGCAGAAAUGAUCAUUAUUUUACUGGUAAAAAACAAACAAACAGAUUUCUACCACUGACAUAGAGAACUUGCAAGGAAUAAAGAAGAGAAUUAAGUCAUUCUUAAUUAACCAAAUGAUUUGAAAUAUUAAGUUUUCUUACCCUAAUAUUAUAUUGGGAGUUUAUUAGUGACACUUUGUGUAAUUGUGACUGACAGAACUUACACAAGUACCUUCAAUUUUUAUGUUAAAAACUUGAGCACACCCUUUCAAAAAAAGGUUACAAACUAUCAUUAUCCAAUAUCAGUUUUUAAAAUGUUAUUUAUUUGAGAAGAUUAGGAACUGGUGUUGACUUACCUGUGUUACUGUUGAAAAAAAUCAAGAGUUUCUGGAACUGUCUGAAUUUUGCAUUGGAAUAAAAAAAACUAUGACAUAAGAAUGAAUUUAUAUUCUUGAAUGAGAGUCUUUGAACAAUCUGUGGAUUUCCACAGGUAACCAUAUACAUAGUGAACUUGCAAGAGUUAAAGUGCUUUAACUUUGUGUUUUGUAGAGAAAUAAGUUUUUUUUAAAUAAAAAAAAACAACUAAA